rnacentral:rRNA from 1 species
UACAGAGGGUGCGAGCGUUGUCCGGAAUCACUGGGCGUAAAGGGCGCGUAGGCGGCCUGAUAAGUAGGGGGUGAAAUCCUGUGGCUUAACUGCAGGGCUGCCUCCUAGACUGUUAGGCUCGAGCACGGUAGAGGCAGAUGGAAUUCCCGGUGUAGCGGUGGAAUGCGUAGAGAUCGGGAAGAACAUCGGUGGCGAAGGCAGAUCUCUGGGCCGUAACUGACGCUGAGGAGCGAAAGCAUGGGGAGCGAACAGG